UUCUGGUGGCUCAGAUGGUAAAGCGUCUGCCUGCAAUGCAGGAGACCCGGGUUCGAUCCCUGGGUCAGGAA
rnacentral:tRNA from 1 species